rnacentral:rRNA from 1 species
CCUACGGGAGGCAGCAGUCGAGAAUCAUUCACAAUGGGGGAAACCCUGAUGGUGCGACGCCGCGUGGGGGAAUGAAGGUCUUCGGAUUGUAAACCCCUUUCAUGUGGGAGCAAAUUAAAAAGAUAGUACCACAAGAGGAAGAGACGGCUAACCCUUUGCCAGCAGCCGCGGUAAUACAGCGGUCUCAAGCGUUGUUCGGAAUCACUGGGCGUAAAGGGUGCGUAGGCUGUUUCGUAAGUCGGGUGGGAAAGGGGCGGGGUCAAACCGCGUACGGGUAAUGAUACUGCGUGACUAGAGUAAAGGAGGGGGAACCGGAAUUCUCGGUGUAGCAGUGAAAUGCGUAGAUAUCGAGAGGAACACUCGUGGCGAAGGCGGGUUCAUGGACAUUAACUGACGCUGAGGCACGAAGGCCUGGGGAGCGAAAGGGAUUAGAUACCCGGGUAGUC